GCCGCGGCUGAUGUCAGAAAUACACUUUCGGGAAAUGGCCUCUAAAUCUUGGCUGAAUUUUUUAACCUUCCUUUGUGGAUCAGCAAUUGGAUUUGUUUUAUGUUCUCAGCUAUUUAGUAUUUUGUUGGGAGAACAGGGUGAUACCCAGCCUAAUAUUCUGCAUAAUGAUCCUCACGCUAGGCACUCAGAUGAUAAUGGACAAAAUCAUCUAGAAGGACAGAUGAACUUCAAUGCAGAUUCUAGCCAACAUAAAGAUGAGAACACAGACAUCGCUGAAAACCUCUAUCAAAAGGUUAAAAUUCUUUGCUGAGUUAUGGCAGGGCCUCAAAAUCUAGAGAAAAAGGCCAAACACGUCAAAGCUACAUGGGCCCAGCGUUGUAAUAAAGUGUUGUUUAUGAGUUCAGAAGAAAAUAAAGACUUCCCUGCCGUGGGAUUAAAAACCAGAGAAGGCAGAGACCAACUAUACUGGAAAACAAUUAAAGCUUUUCAGUAUGUUCAGGAUCAUUAUUUAGAAGAUGCUGAUUGGUUUAUGAAAGCAGAUGAUGAUACAUAUGUUAUACUGGGUACUUUGAGAUGGCUACUCUCAAAAUACAACCCUGAAGAACCCAUUUACUUUGGGAGAAGAUUUAAGCCCGAUGUAAAGCAGGGUUACGUGAGUGGAGGAGCAGGGUAUGUACUGAGCAAAGAAGCCUUGAAGAGAUUUGUGAUGCAUUUAAAACAGACAAAUGUACACAUAGUUCCUCCAUCGAAGACUUAGCAUUGGGCAAAUGCAUGGAAAUUAUAAAUGUAGAAGCAGGAGAUUCCAGAGAUACCGUUGGAAAAGAAACUUUUCAUCCCUUUGUACCAGAACACUACUUAAUCAGGGGUUAUCUACCUAGAACCUUUUGGUAUUGGAAUUAUAACUAUUAUCCUCCUGUAGAGGGUCCUGGUUGCUGUUCUGAUCUUGCAGUUUCUUUUCACUAUGUUGAUCCUACAACUAUGUAUGAGUUAGAAUACCUCGUUUAUCAUCUUCGUCCAUAUGGUUAUUUAUACAGAUAUCAACCUGCCUUACCUGGGAAUAUACUAAAAGAAAGAAGUCGAGCAUACAAAAAUGAAGACCCAAAAGUAAAAUGAGAACUCUUGAAAGAAAAAACAUAAAUGAAGAGGAUGACUUCUACAGCUGUUCCAAUUGGAGUUAACAAGGAUAUUAUUUGUUCUCACAUCUGAAGGGUUCAAAAAAAUCAGACAAAAUAGAUAGAGCAACAGUUUUGAAAAAAAAAUUAGAUAUCAG